rnacentral:lncRNA from 1 species
GGUUUUCGAGGCAAACCUGGUGCUCCUGGACUACCUGUGCGUAUAAUAAUAUGAUUAUCAGAUCAUGAUUACAGACAUACCUGCACUCAAAUACACACACAAACACCUUUUUGUUUAAUUCUUUUAAUGCAUUUUUAGGGUGAUCCUGGUCCACGUGGGAUACAAGGCCCUAAAGGAUCCAAAGGAGAACAGGGUCAGAAGGGUAAACGGGGUCAGCAGGGAGAGCGUGGCAGCAGAGGCUCACCGGUAAGAGGACACAACUCUUUCAUUUUAGUAGUAGUAAGAAAUACAGGGCUAAUAUAAACUCAGAUUUCAAAGAAAUUAUCACUGCCAAAGUCAUGGAUUUAGUUCCCAAGCAGCAAACAGAC